UGGGAGGUCCUACCUGCCCAGUGACACUAAGUUUAACGGCCGCGGUAUCCUGACCGUGCUAAGGUAGCGCAAUCACUUGUCUUUUAAAUGAGGACCUGUAUGAAUGGUGGAACGAGGGCUUAACUGUCUCCCCCUUCUAGCCAGUGAAAUUGAUCUACCCGUGCAGAAGCGGGUAUAAUACUACAAGACGAGAAGACCCUAUGGAGCUUAAGACAUAAGGUCAACUAAGUCAAGACACUUAUUAAAAAGGACUAAACAAAAUUAGUAGUAUGACCCUAGUCUUCGGUUGGGGCGACCGCGGGGGAAAAUAAAGCCCCCAUGAAGAUUGGGAUUAUCCUAAAACUAAGAGGGACACCUCUAAGCCGCAGAACAUCUGACUAUCAAGAUCCAGCACUUACUGCCGAUCAACGAAUCAAGUUACCCUAGGGAUAACAGCGCAAUCCCCUUCAAGAGUCCAUAUCGACAAGGGGGUUUACGACCUCGAUGUUGGAUCAGGACAUCCUAAUGGUGCAGCCGCUAUUAAGGGUUCGUUUGUUCAACGA
rnacentral:rRNA from 1 species